CCAGACACAAGUUACACAAAGGAUCUGGAAUCGUUGGGAAAGUCAGUCAUAGCAGUACAAAGGAUUCAUCAUACAUUAGGGCCAAUUUCUAUUAUUUAGAGCCUGAGAUUAUCACCAGAAAGUUCUUAUUUGUCAAAUUGGGGAUGCGGUGGCACAGAGGCUUAAUGACACUGGAGCGGCCAGCCAGAAAGAGUCAGCACUCCAGUGGUUUGAAUACAGCUCCAUGAGGCAGAGUGAGCUUCUGUCGCUUGAUCCCUAGCUCCUGCCCACCCAACAGUUCAAAAGCAUGCAAUAUUCUGGACAGGAGCUGGGCAGGAAGAGGAGCUCACCUGUCACACGGUGCUCAGGUCUCGAACCCAGGCUUUCAGCUUU